AUGAACGCUGGCGGCGUGCUUAAGACAUGCAAGUCGUACGAGAAGGUCCGCAAGGAUGAGUAAAGUGGCGCACGGGUGAGUAAUACUUGGGUAACGUACCCAUUUGCUGGGGAUAACUAGGCGAAAGCUUAGCUAAUACCGAAUAAUCCGACAGAAACUGCGGUUUUUGUUGGUAAAGCCGUAAGGCGCGAAUGGAGCGGCCCCAGGCCUAUUAGCUAGUUGGUGAGGUAAUGGCUCACCAAGGCUAUGAUGGGUAGCUGGUCUGAGAGGAUGAUCAGCCACACUGGAACUGGAACACGGUCCAGACUCCUACGGGAGGCAGCAGUUAGGAAUUUUGCACAAUGGGGGAAACCCUGAUGCAGCAACGCCGCGUGAGUGAUGAAGGCCUUCGGGUUGUAAAGCUCUUUUAGUCGGGACGAAACAAAUGACGGUAGCAUAUGAAUAAGCAUCGGCUAACUCCGU
rnacentral:rRNA from 1 species